rnacentral:sRNA from 1 species
GCCAGGGAUGGUGAAACAUGCCUAUAGUCCCAGUUACUCAGGAGGUUGAGGCAGGAGGAUUGCUUGAGUCCAGGAACUGGAGGCCAGUCUGGGCAACACAGCAAGAUUCCGUCUUCA